rnacentral:tRNA from 1 species
AGCAGCGUGGCUUAGUGGAAAGAGCCUGGGCUUCGGAGUCAGAGGUCAUGGGUUCGACUCCCGCCUUUGCCA